CACAGAGGAGAGACACAGAUGGCGGGUUUCAGAAUCGGUUUAAUGGAUCAGGAUUCGCACUCUGGCUCUGAGGGUCCCAAAGAGGCCACUUCUCCAAGUUUUCAAAAAUAGAUCUGAUAUAAAGACGUUUUAAUAUUCAUAAAUAGGUGACGUGAAAAAAUCCCCAAAUGCAAAUGACACCCACCCCCGGGUCUGCCUGGGCCCCUGCCACCCGCCCUGUCCCGGCCCUGAGGGUGGGCGGGUCCCGCUGGAGAGAGAAACUGAAUUCAAUAUGAAUCGGAAGCUUUCUCCUUGCCCCACCCAGGGGCCGGGUCCUGGGGACCGGUCCCCUCCUGGAAGGAGAAAGAAAACCUCUCUGGCAUCUCUGGGAGGGUCCCCAGCUCCACUCCUGCUUUGGAGUAGAAAAUCCCAGGGGUCCACCCAGACCCGCGGACUCUUCUUCUGCCCGGGCCCCUCUGGCUCCGCCCCCUUCCUGCUGUCCCGGCCCCACCUGCUCCUGGGGUUGGGCACUUUAUAAACAAAGGAAGAGAUUAAAGUGCCCCCAGGCCCUGGGCCCCUGGGAGGCCACCAGGCUGCCCGGAAGGACACGGCAGGUUUUGUGUCACACAGUCCCCACCCUCCUGUACCCAAGCCCAGGUCUCCACUGGACAGAGGCCCAACCCCCAGGGACAGCGAGGCCCCUCCUGGUGGGACCCAGAAGGGCCUGCAGCAUGGGGCCUUCGCUGUGGGAAAUGGCUCUGGCCAGAGGGUCCUGGGGCAGGGCCCUGGUGACAUGUGUCCUGCUGGGUCAUUAGUAGCAUUUUUUUCUUUCUUUUUUUGGCACCAGGGACUGAACCCAGGGGCCCUGGACCACGGAGCCCCCGUCCCCAGCCCUGUUUCGUGUUUCAUUUAGAGACAGGGCCUCGCUGAGCUGCUCAGGGCCUAAGUGGCUGAGGCUGGCCUCCACCUUGCCAUCCUCCUGCCUCAGCCUCCUGAACAGCUGGGGUGACAGGCGGGCCACCACAUCUUGGCUACAUACUAUUCCUGGCACACCGGGUCCCAGAUGCAUCUGGGGACCUCUGAGGCAGAAAGACACCCUCAGGGAUGGGCACUACCUGCCCUCAGGUAGUACCUGAGCUCUGCCAUGACACCCUCCAUGUGGCCCUGGCCCAGCCCCUCCCCCCUUCUAGAACCACAGGCCACCCCUGCGCUGGAGCCGGAAACCGGGCCACCAGGCCCCAGGACACCUGCACCUGGCCCCCUAACCUGGGAAUGGGGCCAAUGCAGACCACAGGCCAGGGCGACAGGGGCCCCACCUCCUGCUUUGGAGUAGAAAAUACCAGUGGUCCACCCAGACCUGAGGACUCUUCUUCAGCUCCUGGCCCCUCUGGCUCCGCCCACUUCCUGCUGUCCCUACGUUGGGGCUGAGGCGGCCCAGCCUGGGAGGAACCGCAGGGAAGUGGCCUCAGCUGAAGAGGCAGCGGAUUUAUGUGGUGGGGGAAGGGGUGUCGGUGCACAAGGAGCUGACACUGGGUCCCAGGUCCCCUCAGUCAGUCACUGGGACCCCUCAGGGUCCCUGAUGCUAUUUUCCAAGAAGCCCCAGCACCCAGCACAGGUGGAGGGUAAAUUUUUUUUUUUUUUGGUCCCAGGGAUGGAACCCAGGGGUGCCUCACCACGGAGCCCCGUCCCCAGCCCUUUUUAGAUUUUAUUUAGCGUCAGGGUCUUCCUGAGUGGCUGAGGCUGGCCUCCAACUUGUGAUCCUCCUGCCUCAGCCUCCCAAGCUGCUGGGAUGACAGGCUGGGGCCUCCAGGUCCCCCCGACCGUCUUGAGGAGUCCUCCGUCUGUCCUGGCACUGAGGAGGGACCCAGGGCCUCCUGAGCUUCCCUGGCCUCUGAGGCCUGUCCCUGCCUCGUCCCCUACUGGCCAGACUUCUGAGCCAGCACUCAGGGAUCAGCUACGGUGUGACCUGAGUGGCCAGUCCCUGGGCCCCAAGCCAACGCACAGUGCCCAGCUGGCCACGGGCCACGACCCCACUCUUGGGCCACCUGACAAGCUCCAUGGAAAACCAGAAAAACCCGAGGUCCUGAUAAGGCAGGAGCCAGGCCCGGGGUGUGGGGCCUGGGGCUGGCAGUGCAGGAGGAAGGGCAGCCCGAGGGAUGAGUCCAGUUGGCUGCCCAGGUCAUCUUGCUCUCUGGGCUCCAGACAGAGGCUCCAGAGGGAUUUGGAAGGUUCCGGAAUGAUCUAGAAAUUUCCGGAAUGAUCUGGAAGGUUCCAGAAUGAUCUGGAAGGUUCUGGAAUGAUCUAGAAGAAGCUAGGGGGGCAGCCAUCUGCUGGGCAGAAGGUGGUCACAGGUUGGACCUCGGCCCCUUUCCCACUGUGGUGGCCCUGCGGGGCUCAGGCCAGUCUUGGCAUGUGAAGGACGGGCUCCCACCUGCCCUGGGCUCCUGCUCCUGCCGGAUCACAGGGUGGCGGGUCACAGGGUGGCCCCCGCGGCUCCCCCAGCUCUGGAAGGUGCCAGGGGGGCGGAGGGGGACGGAGGCCGGUCAGCAGCCACAGCCCCAGCCCUCGGCCACGUCCUUGCUGUCCAGUUGGAUGUGGUCGCCGCUCUUCUCGCUGAACAAGGGGCCACCGUGCCGCAUGAUGAGCUCCGUGGCCACCCUGAGGAAGGCCUCCUCCACGUUGCGCGAGUCCUUGGCCGAGGUCUCGAUGGCGCACAGGAUGUCGUAGUGCCGGGCCAGGCUCUGGGCCUCGGCCAGCGGCACCUCCCGGAGCUCAGCCAGGUCCGCCUUGUUCCCUGGGGGGAGACGUGGGGCAGUGAGCGGGCCCAAGGCCACCUGAGCAGGGCCGUCCUUGUCACCCACCUCACCCAGGCCCAGAGCCUUGGGGUCAGGGACCACAGACACGGCCCCUAAAUCGAGGAGCCUCAGUAAACCCUUCCCCCUGAGCUGUCCUGUGGAGUCAGUCAGUCAACAAUCUUUCUUAAAACGGCCUUUUUAAUUCUAACCUUUUUUUGGUGGCACUGGGCCACCAAGCUAGGACAUGGCCCUUUCCGUACCUA
rnacentral:lncRNA from 1 species